rnacentral:rRNA from 1 species
UACGGAGGGGGGUUAGCGUUGUUCGGAAUGACUGGGCGUAAAGCGCGCGUAGGCGGAUCAGGAAGUUGGGGGGUGAAAUCCCGGGGGCUCAACCCCGGAAUGGCCUUCAAAACUCCUGGUCUUGAGUUCGAGAGAGGUGAGUGGAAUUCCGAGUGUAGAGGUGAAAUUCGUAGAUAUUCGGAGGAACACCAGUGGGCGAAGGCGGCUCACUGGCUCGACACUGACGCUGAGGUGCGAAAGCGUGGGGAGCAAACAGG